AUUGAACGCUGGCGGCAGGCCUAACACGUGCAAGUCGAGCGGAUGAAGGGAGCUUGCUCCUGGAUUCAGCGGCGGACGGGUGAGUAAUGCCUAGGAAUCUGCCUGGUAGUGGGGGCUAACGUCCGGAAACGGGCGCUAAUACCGCAUACGUCCUGAGGGAGAAAGGGGGGGAUCUUCGGACCUCACGCUAUCAGAUGAGCCUAGGUCGGAUUAGCUAGUUGGUGGGGUAAAGGCCUACCAAGGCGACGAUCCGUAACUGGUCUGAGAGGAUGAUCAGUCACACUGGAACUGAGACACGGUCCAGACUCCUACGGGAGGCAGCAGUGGGGAAUAUUGGACAAUGGGCGAAAGCCUGAUCCAGCCAUGCCGCGUGUGUGAAGAAGGUCUUCGGAUUGUAAAGCACUUUAAGUUGGGAGGAGGGGCAGUAAGUUAAUACCUUGCUGUUUUGACGUUACCAACAGAAUAAGCACCGGCUAACUUCGUG
rnacentral:rRNA from 1 species